GACGUAGGGCGCGAGCGUUGUCCGGAUUUAUUGGGCGUAAAGGGCUCGUAGGCGGUCCGUCACGUCGGGAGUGAAAACUCGGAGCUCAACUCCGAGCCUGCUUCCGAUACGGGCAGACUAGAGGUAGGCAGGGGAGAGCGGAACUCCUGGUGUAGCGGUGGAAUGCGCAGAUAUCAGGAAGAACACCCGUGGCGAAGGCGGCUCUCUGGGACGGUACUGACGCUGAGACGCGAAAGCGUGGGGAGCGAACAGG
rnacentral:rRNA from 1 species